rnacentral:rRNA from 1 species
AUUGAACGCUGGCGGUAUGCUUAACACAUGCAAGUCGAACGGUAGCAGGCCUUCGGGCGCUGACGAGUGGCGGACGGGUGAGUAACGCGUAGGAAUCUGCCUCAUAGUGGGGGACAACGUGGGGAAACUCACGCUAAUACCGCAUACGCCCUACGGGGGAAAGCGGGGGCGCUUCGGACCUCGCGCUAUGAGAUGAGCCUGCGUUAGAUUAGCUAGUUGGUAGGGUAAAAGCCUACCAAGGCGACGAUCUAUAGCUGGUCUGAGAGGACGAUCAGCCACACUGGGACUGAGACACGGCCCAGACUCCUACGGGAGGCAGCAGUGGGAAAUAUUGGACAAUGGGCGCAAGCCUGAUCCAGCAAUACCGCGUGUGUGAAGAAGGCCCUAGGGUUGUAAAGCACUUUCAAUUGGGAGGAAAACCUGUCGGUCAAUACCCGGCAGCUUGACAUUACCUUUAGAAGAAGCACCGGCUAACUCCGUGCCAGCCGCCGCAGUAAGAC